UACGUAGGGGGCAAGCGUUGUCCGGAAUUACUGGGCGUAAAGCGUGCGUAGGCGGUCCGCGAAGUCUGAUGUGAAAGCCCCGGGCUCAACCUGGGAACUGCAUUGGAAACUGACGGGCUCGAGUGUGGCAGAGGGGGGUGGAAUUCCACGUGUAGCAGUGAAAUGCGUAGAGAUGUGGAGGAACACCGAUGGCGAAGGCAGCCCCCUGGGCUAACACUGACGCUCAGGCACGAAAGCGUGGGGAGCAAAAGGG
rnacentral:rRNA from 1 species